AACGAACGCUGGCGGCAUGCCUAACACAUGCAAGUCGAACGAGACCUCCGGGUCUAUUGGCGUACGGGUGUGUAACGCGUGGGAACCUGCCCUUAGGUUCGGAAUAACUCCCCGAAAGGGGUGCUAAUACCGGAUAAUGUCUUCGGACCAAAGAUUUAUUGCAUCUGGAUGGGCCCGCGUUGGAUUAGCUGGUUGGUAGGGUAAAAGCCUACCAAGGCGACGAUUCAUAGCUGGUCUGAGAGGAUGAUCAGCCACACUGGGACUGAGACACGGCCCAGACUCCUACGGGAGGCAGCAGUGGGGAAUAUUGGACAAUGGGCGAAAGCCUGAUCCAGCAAUGCCGCGUGAGUGAUGAAGGCCUUAGGGUUGUAAAGCUCUUUUACCCGGGAUGAUAAUGACAGUACCGGGAGAAUAAGCUCCGGCUAACUCCGUG
rnacentral:rRNA from 1 species